rnacentral:rRNA from 1 species
CGUAGUUAGCCGUGACUUAUUCCUGGGGUACCGUCCUCUCUCGUCCCCAGAAAAGGGCUUUACAACCCGAAGGCCUUCGUCGCCCACGCGGCGUUGCUGCCUCAGACUUUCGUCCAUUGGGCAAUAUUCCUCA